UAAGAUUUUGGUUUCAACUUUCAUUUGUGAUAUUACAACUCUAUUUUGGUUUCCUCUUCUUUGUUGUUCAGCUCACUACUAGAGAUUAGAUUGCUGGAGGCUGGGUAUCAUAAUCUUUGAGCUGUGAGUUGCAGUCUAACUACUGCUUAUGCUAUUUUAUUUGAGCUUUACAUUAUUGAUUUGCUCAAGUAUUUUAAGAUCUAAAAUUUGUUCAUGGUUUCUCUUGGAAUGUUUCAACUCCACCCAAUGAGAUUUCUCCAAGUGUCCCUCAAUUGUCUCUUUAGCCACUAUAUCAACGUUGUUGGUAUAACAUUUAUCCACAUGGAUUCUUUUCUUGUGGACUAAUACACUUUGAGUUGAAGAUCAAGGAAGAAUGUUAGAGGAAUAUUCGAAUCAGCCUAGUUUGGUUAAUUUAUUAACUAUCGGCUAAUCAGUUAGCUAGUAAUUAGUUAUAUUAAACAGACUAUACCCAUUUGUAACAGAUCAUUUAGUUAGGCUCCCUCUAUAAUAUAAAUAUAUGCCUAACGUACCAAGAUAUGUAAGUUUCUAGCAUGCAUCAAUAACAAUAGCUUCAUCUCUCAUUUUCAUACCUUAAUUUUCUUGA
rnacentral:lncRNA from 1 species